rnacentral:rRNA from 1 species
GACAGAGGGUGCAAACGUUGUUCGGAUUUACUGGGCGUAAAGCGCGUGUAGGCGGCCCUGCAAGUCGGAUGUGAAAUCCCACGGCUCAACCGUGGAAGUGCAUUCGAAACUGCAGGGCUAGAGUCCUGGAGAGGAAGGUGGAAUGCUUGGUGUAGAGGUGAAAUUCGUAGAUAUCAAGCGGAACACCGGUGGCGAAGGCGGCCUUCUGGACAGUGACUGGACGCUGAGACGACGAAAGCGGUGGGGAAGCAAACAGGGAUUAAG